UGCUUUUGCACAUUGGGUAGGGGAGCGUUCUGUAAGCGGUUGAAGGUGUGUGGUAACGCAUGCUGGACGUAUCAGAAGUGCGAAUGCUGACAUGAGUAACGAUAAAGGGGGUGAAAAACCUCCUCGCCGGAAGACCAAGGGUUCCUGUCCAACGUUAAUCGGGGCAGGGUAAGUCGACCCCUAAGGCGAGGCCGAAAGGCGUAGUCGAUGGGAAACGGGUUAAUAUUCCCGUACUUCUUACAAUUGCGAUGGGGGGACGGAGAAGGCUAGGUGGGCCUGGCGACGGUUGUCCAGGUUCAAGUGCGUAGGCUUAAGAGUUAGGUAAAUCCGGCUCUUUUUAAGGCUGAGACACGACGUCGAGCACCUACGGGUGUGAAGUCAUUGAUGCCAUGCUUCCAGGAAAAGCCUCUAAGCUUCAGAUUGUAAGGAAUCGUACCCCAAACCGACACAGGUGGUCGGGUAGAGAAUACCAAGGCGCUUGAGAGAACUCGGGUGAAGGAACUAGGCAAAAUGGUACCGUAACUUCGGGAGAAGGUACGCUCUUGAUGGUGAAGUCCCUUGCGGAUGGAGCUGACGAGAGUCGCAGAUACCAGGUGGCUGCAACUGUUUAUUAAAAACACAGCACUGUGCAAAAUCGUAAGAUGACGUAUACGGUGUGACGCCUGCCCGGUGCCGGAAGGUUAAUUGAUGGGGUUAGACUUCGGUCGAAGCUCUUGAUCGAAGCCCCGGUAAACGGCGGCCGUAACUAUAACGGUCCUAAGGUAGCGAAAUUCCUUGUCGGGUAAGUUCCGACCUGCACGAAUGGCGUAAUGAUGGCCACGCUGUCUCCACCCGAGACUCAGUGAAAUUGAAAUCGCUGUGAAGAUGCAGUGUACCCGCGGCUAGACGGAAAGACCCCGUGAACCUUUACUACAGCUUGGCACUGAACAUUGACCCUACAUGUGUAGGAUAGGUGGGAGGCUUUGAAGCACGUACGCCAGUAUGUGUGGAGCCGUCCUUGAAAUACCACCCUU
rnacentral:rRNA from 1 species